AAAUGCAAAGAUAAAAACACAUCCCGAUAGGUAGUCCGGGAGCAACAGAAAUGUUGUCAGUAACCUGCCUCCUUUGGUUGUCCAUUCUUUGCGGGUAAGCA
rnacentral:ncRNA from 1 species